GAUGAACGCUGGCGGCGUGCCUAAUACAUGCAAGUCGAGCGAACGGACGAGAAGCUUGCUCCUCUGAUGUUAGCGGCGGACGGGUGAGUAACACGUGGAUAACCUACCUAUAAGACUGGGAUAACUUCGGGAAACCGUAGCUAAUACCGGAUAAUAUUUUGAACCGCAUGGUUCAAAAGUGAAGGACGGUCUUGCUGUCACUUAUAGAUGGAUCCGCGCUGCAUUAGCUAGUUGGUAAGGUAACGGCUUACCAAGGCAACGAUGCGUAGCCGACCUGAGAGGGUGAUCGGCCACACUGGAACUGAGACACGGUCCAGACUCCUACGGGAGGCAGCAGUAGGGAAUCUUCCGCAAUGGGCGAAAGCUUGACGGAGCAACGCCGCGUGAGUGAUGAAGGUCUUCGGAUCGUAAAACUCUGUUAUUAGGGAAGAACAUAUGUGUAAGUAACUGUGCACGUCUUGACGGUACCUAAUCAGAAAGCCACGGCUAACUACGUG
rnacentral:rRNA from 1 species